rnacentral:rRNA from 1 species
UUGGCGGUGCGUCUAAUACAUGCAAGUCGAGCGCUACUUCGGUAGAGCGGCGAACGGGUGAGUAACACGUUGGAACCUGCCUCGAACUCAGGGAUAACAUCGAGAAAUCGGUGCUAAUACCGGAUAGUCCCGCAAAGGGUAAAGAUUUUUUCGGUUCGAGAGGGGCCUGCGUCCCUAUUAGCUAGUUGGUGAGGUAAUGGCUUACCAAGGCGAUGAUGGGUAGCUGGUCUGAGAGGAUGAUCAGUCACAGGGGAACUGAGACACGGUCCCCCACUCC